CUUGAGUACCUGAAAAUUAAAGAUUGUCCAUCUCUUAUUGGCUUUCCGAAAGGGGAGCUACCCGCCACCCUUAAGAAGCUGAUAAUUAUAAAUUGUGAGAAGCUAGAGUCUCUACCUGAGGGAAUUGACAACAACAACACUUGUCAUCUUGAAUAUCUACAUGUAUGGGGAUGUCCAUCUCUCAAGUCCAUUCCAAGAGGUUACUUUCCCUCAACACUUGAGACCCUUUCCAUUUGGGACUGCCAGCAAUUGGAGUCGAUUCCAGGGAAUAUGCAGCAAAAUCUCACAUCUCUUCAAGUUUUGCAAAUAUGUAAUUGUCAAGAUGUGUUGUCCUCUCUAGAAGCGUUUUUGAACCCUAACCUUGAAGAACUUUGUGUUUCAGAUUGUGAGAAUAUGAGGUGGCCUCUAUCUGGGUGGGGCCUCCACACACUCACCUCUCUUGAUAAGCUCAUGAUUCAAGGCCCAUUCCCAGAUCUGCUUUUUAUUCCCAGCUCUCACCUUCUUCUUCCUACAUCUAUCACAUGUCUCCGGUUGGUAAAUCUCUACAACUUGAAAUCCAUAGCCUCCAUAAGUCUCCAAAGCCUCAUCUCUCUUAAAAGCCUUGAACUCUACAAUUGCCCUAAGCUCUGGUCCUUUGUGCCCAAGGGUGGGCAACACUUGCAAUACUUGAAAUCUGGGAGUGUCCUAUUCUAGAAAAGAGGUGUCUCAAGGACAAACGGAAAGAUUGGCCCAAGAUUGGCCACAUCCCCUACGUGGAAAUAAAUGACAUUGUACAACAAUAACAGCUUCAAUAAGGGGUUCUCCUAAUUUUUCAGAAGUUAGGCCUUCCUACCACAAUUUAAUAUUGAUAUUUGGCAUUGCCCUCUUCCAAAACAAAGAAUUUCCUGCCAUUCAUAUCUGCAAGGGUAAAUACUAAAUAUCCUACACAUGAAAGAAGAUGUACUAAAUGCCCCAUUCUUUUCUAGUUUCUGGAUUUACAUGUGAUUCAAGUUUUAAGGCCCUAUCAAAUUUGGGCAACAACUUCACUUCCCACCAAGGGAUGGGCAAAAGGCCUUAUGUUUGGUGGUUCUUUUUGUUUAAAGCUCAGUAUACUGAUUCAAUCACCAUUAAUUGUUAAAAGGAAUGCUCCUUUAUUUAACACCUUGGUUUUUUGGGAUUCUGCCAUCUUUUUGCAAAUAUGUAUUUCAAAAACGGGAGAGUUACUGUUGACCUAGAGAGGACCUUUCUACUAUCAUCUGGUAUGUCAAGCAGUUCAGGAUGCACAGAAAGGGCAUAUAUCCCAGAUACUUGUGUUACAGAGGGGGUUGUGCUUUGCCAGUGUGUGACUCUGGAAACCCCACGUAAAAUGUAUGGCAACAACUGAGUCCUAUCAAUACUUGCAACAUUACAUAAUCAAGAGAGAUGUCCUAUUCUAAAAAGGAGGUUCAUGAAGAACAAAGGAAAAGAAUGGCCCUAAAUUGCUCAUAUCCUCCCAUAUCUGGAGAUAGAUUGCAUUGUACAGCAGUAAAAAGGUCAAUCAAGUACCCCAAUUGAUGAUAGUCGCUCUUUUCUCUUGUUGCUCACAUCCAUCCUUCUAUCUGAUUGGAAAUUUAGUUCUCUAAUUCAUCAAUUCCAUGUCUGAAGUGAAUAUGGUGUUGGUUGUUCAUUCUCUAAUAUGGUGAUGGUGAAAAGAAGAUGAAAGGGCCUAGGAAAAGCAUGUCAAAAAGAGUUGGAAAAACAACCUGCUUAUGAUUACAUUCGUUGGUCUGCCUAUAGAUCUUGGGUUGGAUAUGGUGCAGAGGAAGAUUUUUACAAACAAACCUAUUUAAGGUAUUUGGGACUAUCCUCUUCCAAACACAGAUGCAGGAUGGCAAUCAAAGGGAC